ensembl:lncRNA
CCAGUGUGUAUUGAUUAUUUUUUGUGGUUUGUGUGAAAUCCAGGUAAUCAGAUGUGUCAUCGGAUAAUGGUAGGUGUGGGGCGCUAAACUGGGCAUUGAAAUUUCAUUUCAUUUCAAAACAGUAUUAAGACCAUGGACCAGACCUUUUAUUAGAAAUUCAACAAGUACUGGCAUUAAUAGGGAUACACUCCUUUCCAGCUGGUGGCGAUAAUGCUCCAAUAAACGAAGAAGAAGAAGACGUGCCAGUCAUCAUAAUUGUUAUUUUCCAUGGCAUUUUUUAAGCGGGUUAAAGCCAUCACCUUUGUCCAUCUGUAUCUGAAAGUGCCACAGGACUAGGGCUGUCCCAAACACACUUUCAGUUGUGGCAGUUGUAUCUGUCUGAUAAAGCUGUGCUUUUGAUUUUUACUCCAUCACAUGCGAUCCGAGCACUGAUGCCACAGACACCGCACAGCUGCUAAUUUUUUUUUUUGUGGGGAGUGGACGAGAGCACGAGCGCUUUAGAGUACACACCGCUGUGCACAGCGCACGCACACGCAAAGUCAGCUGAUCUCAUCUGAUGCAGAUCUGCUCCCAUCUGAUGCAGAUCUGCUCCUUGAUCAAGUGACAUUUGUCCGGAUUUUUGGCACGAGUGGCGAUCAGCACCGCAGCUGGAUGGCCCGAUUUACAUACCCAGCGCAGCUGAUACUCACCAGAAUAAUUUACUAAAAUUAUAUGCACUCCUGUUAUUAAGUCCAGUUCAGUCUGUUAAUGUUGAUAAUCGUUUCAAACGAACGUUAAUAGGUGUGUUGCUAAGCCUAAGAACUUAAAUAACAAGCUUGAAAUGUACCCGUCCCAUUUUCCCCUUUAUUGUUUUUCCUCUGUGCUGUAAAUCUUCUGUCCAAGAAGAAAUCUGAGGCUGCUGUUCUGAGAAUGAGCUACCAAAGCUUUUUCUGAAUAAAUCAAUAAAGAUCCAUUUAUGGAAAGCUGUGAUGAAGGCAGUUUUGUCUUUAAUUAUAUUCAACAAUAUAACAUAUUGUUGUUAUAAUUUGGACUAUAAUUUGGACUAGGGCUGUCCCAAACACACUAUCAGUCGUGGCCAUCUUCCUGAUGUAUUUGUGGAUGUUUGUUGUUUCAUCCUGAAUAGUGGUUCUGACACUCAGUAGGCUGCAGCCACCUUCAUUUCACUUAGUGUAAAGUCUCAGAGUGCUGGAUUUGGAUUGAAACUUUCCAUACAUGUUAAAGAGCUUUCUUAUCUUGAUGCCAGUGGCUUGUUUCUCUUCUUUUAGCCUACUGAUUAUCCCAGCAGGGGUAUAGGUAUUAAUUGCCUGGAUCCUAUUCUUCCUAU